GGAAGUUGUAAAAAAAGAAGAAAAAAAAAAAAUUGGUCCCCGAGAGAGAGAACAAACAUUCUAAGCCACUCUGACUCUUACAAACAGAAUCUCUGAUAACCUCACAGUGCCUCGGCUACAGGGUGGCAACAAAGGUAGCCGCCAACCAAUGGCUUUGACAGAAUGAGGCACCCCUUGGCAUGCCUGCUAGAGGCAAACAGAUCUCUCUAGCACUCAUCCAGGGACUGGGGAGGUCUGGGGAGGCUGGUUUGCUCCACUGCGCCCCCUCCCUUUUUUCUGCCUCGCAUUCAUGUCUCUCUCAUUUCAUUCCUGUGGAGCCAACUCUGAAGCUGUUGAAAGAGGAUUGACUAUUGCUCCAUCAGCCACCUGGCAGCCCGCAACCACGACCAGCUUUACUUAAACCCAUGAGUGGCUUCAAAAGGAAAAGCAGGGGAAAAGGGAAAGAAAAAAAAGAGAAAAAAGAGGUAGAUGGCAUGCAGAUGGUAGUUUAUUUUCACAACAACCCUACAGGAAAAGGUCCCAUUAGGAUGCUUGUUUGUAAAAUAUCACACAAUUCCCUCAUUUAACUGAUGAGAAAACUGAGGAUGACUUGCUCAAGGUCACAUAACCAAUAAGUGGUGGCAAAGUUGGGACUCAAACCUAGGAUUUCUGGCCCCAAAGCCAUUUUCUUAAUCCUUACCCAACAGUGCUCUGCGAGCAAAUCUCAAGACCUACUUUAUCUGAGCCUCAGAUUGCUCACUCAGCUUAAUGAGGAGAUUGGAUGAUACUAUCUCCUAGUUCCUAAACGAUCUGUUAAAGAAAGCCCUGCUAACUCAGCGGGAGGAAAGACGGCUGCUGAGCCCUUCUCCAUGAGCUUCCUGAAAACCUUGAUAACUCUCCUUCAAGGGUGGAGCAGCGGCAGAUAGCUUUGAUCUCGACUGAGCAAGAGCUCAAGAUCUACAACCAGAAUCAACCCUUUGAUUAGAACUCUGGAUAUGUUUGUGAACACGUGUAUCCAUGAAUUCCUUCUGUAUGUGGCAAAUCUUAGAAUGUCUGCCAGCAUAUCUCAAAAAGACAAUCCCUCCCUAGCUUCCAGGUACCAGCUACAAGCCUUCUUUCGACCCAUCUGAUAGCAAACUCCUCAUAUGAGUGGUCUGUGCUGCUCCCACCACUCCUAUUCUCCCAGUCUUUCUUGACUCGCUCUAAUUGGGCUUUUGCCCCAUCAGUCCACAGAAACCUCUCUUAUCAAAGUCACCCACAACCUACGUGAUGUUCUUCAUCCAGCCAGGCCUUGGAAACUGACUGCAGCACCGAGAUACAGAAGAACAGAACAGGUGAAAAACAGGAAUCUACGGAUCAAAACAACAAUGUAUGAACUACCUCCACCAAAACUCUUAAGCUAAGUGCAUAAGGCAAAUACACAUCAUUAAACAGAUAUACAUUCUUUUCCAUAAACUAUCUUAUUAUCA
rnacentral:lncRNA from 1 species